GACAGCUCUGCCUGGCAGAGGGUGAGUGUGGGCAGCCAGUGGGGCUGUGCCAAGGAGGGAGCUGCUUUCCACUUGGAUUACGUACCUAGAAGGUCAAAACUGGUUCUGGAUACAAAUUUCCCUGUGAGGCUAGAUGAUAUUUUGAGCAAACUAAAGACCUGAACUGAGUUACGCUGGACUGCUUGAGCAGGAGGCUUCGUACAGGUAGAGAGAGCUGUCUGUCUCAGCAGAGUUUGCUUUAAGCCUCCUUGUGCUCCUGUGCAACCCUUGUGCUUAAAGCUGGUGGGUGCAAAUCAUCCUGUGUAAACAUAAAGAAGGCAGUACGUUGCUUCUGUGAGCAGCGGAGCCCACUGCAGCAUACAGGCUCAAGGCAAGCCUUAAUUAGAAGCUGAACUGUGUGUGGACCCAGGGAUUUCCCUGGGGACGCAUGUGGCAAACGCAGGGGCUAAUGCACUGAGUGCUGCAGCUGUGUGUCUGCGCUAGCAGGGGAGCUGCCAGGGGAGGAAGCAGGAAAUACUAGACAAUACUAAGAGCAUAAUUCUGAGAGAAAAAAAAAGCCAACAAAGCAACAGAAGACGAACUUUGGGCUGGGUGCUUCCUGAAAAAGCCCUGGGAUUGCCGGCUGAGGGACUAUCUCAAGAAAAAAAGAGCAACUGGGACAACAUUUACGCAUAAGAGGUGGUGCCAGCUCCAUUCCCUGCUCACAGCUACUCCAUUGCUACUUCAUGGGAAAGACAAGCUCUCGCUGGAGCAUGAUCCGAAGCCCUGGACACUUCUCUCCCCAGAUGAGCGCUCCUUUUCCUUCACUGUCUUUCACAAUCUCCUGAGGAUACUGAAUGUUUACAAGAGGUCAAAAGUGAAUGGAUGGAAAAGCCAAUCUAUUAAAUCUAUUAAAUAUAAAGACACCACUCAGGAAUUGCCUGAGCCAAAGAUUACUGGCUGUUGAGAAGAUAUUUGGUGGAAAUACCACUUCACGCUUUCCUGUUCCUAUAUAUUUUCCCAAGCACCUGCUUUUGGCCACUGUAGGAGACAAAAUACUAGGCUAGAUGGGCUUUCAGCAAUAUAUCUAUAAAAUAUAAAAUAUAUUUACAUUUA